rnacentral:rRNA from 1 species
AGUGAACGCUGGCGGUGGGCCUAACACAUGCAAGUCGAACGGCAGCACAGUAAGAGCUUGCUCUUACGGGUGGCGAGUGGCGGACGGGUGAGGAAUACAUCGGAAUCUACUUUUUCGUGGGGGAUAACGUAGGGAAACUUACGCUAAUACCGCAUACGACCUACGGGUGAAAGCAGGGGAUCUUCGGACCUUGCGCGAUUGAAUGAGCCGAUGUCGGAUUAGCUAGUUGGCGGGGUAAAGGCCCACCAAGGCGACGAUCCGUAGCUGGUCUGAGAGGAUGAUCAGCCACACUGGAACUGAGACACGGUCCAGACUCCUACGGGAGGCAGCAGUGGGGAAUAUUGGACAAUGGGCGCAAGCCUGAUCCAGCCAUACCGCGUGGGUGAAGAAGGCCUUCGGGUUGUAAAGCCCUUUUGUUGGGAAAGAAAAGCAGCAGGUUAAUACCCCGCUGUUCUGACGGUACCCAAAGAAUAAGCACCGGCUAACUUAG